AUACGGAGGAUCCAAGCGUUAUCCGGAUUUAUUGGGUUUAAAGGGUGCGCAGGCGGCCAUUUAAGUCAGCGGUUAAAUCGUGGGGCUCAACCCCAUUCUGCCGUUGAUACUGGGUGGCUUGAUUGCGGUCGAGGUUGGCGGAAUUCGUUGUGUAGCGGUGAAAUGCAUAGAUAUGACGAAGAACACCGAUUGCGUAGGCAGCUGACCAGACCGCAAAUGACGCUCAUGCACGAAAGUGCGGGGAUCGAACAGGAUUAGAUACCCUGGUAGUCCGCACAGUAAACGAUGAAUACUUGUUUUCGGCGAUAUAAUGUCGGAGGCAAAGCGAAAGCGAUAAGUAUUCCACCUGGGGAGUACGCCGGCAACGGUGAAACUUAAAGGAAUUGACGGGG
rnacentral:rRNA from 1 species